UAAAUUGAAAAAUUGAAUUCAAUGUGUCUUGAGCAGAACCCUUGUAUUCCCCCAGCAAUAGUGCAUCGUAAAUUGACUUAAUAAUAAAUUAUUAUUAUUUCAUAAGAAUUUUUCCUCAUCUGAUUAAAAUGAAGUUCGCAGUUCUCCUUCUCGUGGUCCUGGUGUGUCUGUUAAAUCUCAUCGUUGAAUCUGAAAGUUGUUGUAAAGCAAUUGGUGAUAGGUGUGGUCAUGGCUUCUAUUGCUGCCCUUUUCUUGAGUGUAACAUCAAGAGCACAGGGAAUACUUGUGGUUCAAUUUGAAAAAUAAAGGGUACCAUAAAUCACUGAGAAAAACCAGGAGUAAAGUUUAAUGGAGGAGUCCCAUAUUUAAAAAUAAUUAUUCUUGAUUCUGUUUGAUUCCGCUGUCUCUCAAAUGUUAAAAUGUUUUACAAAUCAGUUGAAAAGAAAUGUUUCUUUUUAAAUACUUAAAAAAUCAGUAUAAAACUAUAAAUUGAUAAUUUUAAUUUGUUAUUUGCAUUUGUUUUAAGUUGCUAUAAAAUAUGUAGACAUUUGCUUAUUGAUAUGUUUUCAUUUUAUUACUAACGACAUGUUACUAAUUAUGUUUUACGCUGCCAUAAAAAUAUUUUAGUAUUUAUUUUUUAAUGCUACUUUUGGUCUAAAAUUGUAUUUAU